AACGAACGCUGGCGGCAGGCCUAACACAUGCAAGUCGAACGCUCCAGCAAUGGAGAGUGGCAGACGGGUGAGUAACGCGUGGGAACCUACCCUUUGGUUCGGAAUAGCCCAGGGAAACUUGGGGUAAUACCGGAUAAGCCCUUCGGGGGAAAGAUUUAUCGCCAAUGGAUGGGCCCGCGUCGGAUUAGCUAGUUGGUGGGGUAACGGCCUACCAAGGCGACGAUCCGUAGCUGGUCUGAGAGGAUGAUCAGCCACACUGGGACUGAGACACGGCCCAGACUCCUACGGGAGGCAGCAGUGGGGAAUAUUGGACAAUGGGCGCAAGCCUGAUCCAGCCAUGCCGCGUGAGUGACGAAGGUCUUCGGAUUGUAAAGCUCUUUUGGCGGGGACGAUAAUGACGGUACCCGCAGAAUAAGCCCCGGCUAACUUCGUGCCAGCCGCCGCCGUAACAC
rnacentral:rRNA from 1 species